rnacentral:rRNA from 1 species
UACGAAGGGUGCAAGCGUUACUCGGAAUUACUGGGCGUAAAGGGUGCGUAGGUGGUUGUUUAAGUCUGCUGUGAAAUCCCCGGGCUCAACCUGGGAAUGGCAGUGGAUACUGGAUAGCUAGAGUGCGGUAGAGGGUAGUGGAAUUCCCGGUGUAGCAGUGAAAUGCGUAGAGAUCGGGAGGAACACCAGUGGCGAAGGCGGCUACCUGGACCAGCACUGACACUGAAGCACGAAAGCGUGGGGAGCAAACAGG